GUUUCAGUUCAUUUUAUUGGACUCCUUAUUCAGUAUGAUAUUGGUUGUGGAUUUGUCACAGGUGGUUCUUAUUUUUUAGAGGUGGAAAGGCAUCUGGAAACAGAGGAAAACAUUCCAUUUAGAAGAAAAUCUCAAUGUUGUCCUUGGGUUUGUGAGUUUUCAGAUCUCUCUUGUUUGAAAAUGAGAAGACCAAAUCUGUAUUUUUCUAUGUUCUCCUGGCUCCAGAGAAAUAGCCAUUGUUUUCCCGGAAAUGAUGAGGCAAUAGAAAUCUAUAGGCCCAUUCCUAUAAUUGCCACCUCAGCCGUUGCUAAUCCACCUGGUAGGCCCUGGGUUCUUCAGGACAUUGAGAAAUAUGAAACUUUUCUAAAACAGAGGGAGCCUUCUUGGAUUACAUCUCAUCCAUCAGGGAGCAAGGCUCAUGCUCUAAGCUCCAGUACACUGCUAAGAAUUCUAGUUUUACUUGAGUCCAACAUUCCAACACAAGGAAGGCAAGUUUUUCCUGCUUCCAUGAUGAUGGAAGGUAGGUAACUCCUUUAUGGAGUUUGAGUUCAUUUCCAACAGGGAAGAUGAGGGGUUUCUUUUCCUGCUUCUAGGAUGGUAGAGAGCACUCUUCAGCCUGAGACCCAUCCCUAGGUAAGUAAUUGAAUUGGGAUUUGUCUUGGCUAAAGUUAGAUUAACAGCCAGCUGGUCUUAAUUUCUCCUUACCAUUAGAGCACUCAGUGAUCUUACCGUUGGAGUUUCUUUGUUAUUUGUUCUGGUCUGAGGUUGUUGUUUAAGGAUUCUCAUUCUACUUUAAAGAUGCAUUCUAAAUAGUCUUCUCCAUUGCCUUUUCUCCCAAAUUUAAUCUUAAUUUGGUUUGUCAGUGUGCAUUUUCAUGAGGAGCUGAAAUGUUGUUUUCACAUGUUAAUGAGAGACUGAGCUUUCUCAGCUCCAAAGAGGAAGGGCAUUUGUUCCUCCCAGCCAAAAGGUGUCCCUGGGUGACUGGGGGCCCCAUCACAGUGUCUAGGGCAUUGAUCCCCCAUGCCAUGACAUGUAGUGGCCCUUCUGGGAAACCCCCAACAAAAAUUAAUUUUUAAAAUGGCUCAUCCAGGAAAUACAUAUAAGGGCUGAUCACCCAGCAUUUUUAGCCCUCUCUGAGGUCAUAGACCUCUGGAGAAAGAAACUGAAAGAAACUCUAGAGACAGAAAUGUAAGAGGGUGGAUGUACUCAGUGGUGACACAUUGUAGAGUCCUGACCAAAAGCAGCAUAUAUCAAUCCACCACAUAAAAACCUUAGGCAAGAGCUCAGUUCUUCCUUUUAAGAAAAAGAAAAGCGGGAAACAAAUAAUCUAAGAAAGAAAACAAGGAAAAUGACCCCCUUUCAAGGACUCCAUGGGUUUCAUGGCACAUCUACUUGCCAAAGUUUAUGUAAAAUGAAAAUAAUAUGGUCUUUGUAAAUAAUUACCUUAAGGAAAAGGAGCCCGAAGGUCAACCUGAAAACUAUAGAGUUCCUAAGUCCUCUUUUUCUCUAUUUUUUUCUUUUCUGCCUGCUCUAAAUAUGCUGUUAUUUUUCUAUUAAGACAAAAACCGCUGUUUAGAUCCAACAAGCCCUUUUUGCAAGCCAAUGAUUUCAUGUUUAUCUCAUGGUUAAAAGUUCUGAAGUAAAAGCUAUAGGAUCUUUGUGUGUGUGUGUGUACAUAUUUAAAAGGCCUUUAUAAUUUCCAUAAUUUUAUGUUUAAUAGGCAAUUAAAACCAUUUUAAUUUCCCUCCAACAUACCAAACUUUUUCUCUCUGCACAUUAUAAUGUAAAUUUUGCUCUUUGACUUUUACCUGAGUUGCUUUCUUUAAUAUGCAAAUUUAAGGCUAUUUAGCUGACAACAGCUCAGGGUUGUAAAACACAUUAUCAAGAAUCUGAAAGUCUAAGAUAGGGAAAAAAAGGUUUUUGUGAAUCUAUAAAAUGUACUUCUAUCAGCAUGCCUAAUGCAUCUAUAUAUUUAUGUGUUGUGUACACAAUAUUUUACUACUAAAAAUAUAUAAAAGAUCUCUAAUUAAUGGGCUUAAAAGUAAAAUCAAAGUGCUUAAAUUAGAUAUGAAAAAGGAAAAGACUAGUCAAAUGCUUUUUCAAGUUUAUGUAACUUAAGUAAAAUCUUUAGUAAACAAGCUAGCUUUAAAAUUAUUGGCAAAGUAAUAUUAAAAAUGUCUUAAGAAUUGCCAGCAUACAUUGUUUGCAUUUAUUAAUCAAGCAAGUUCAUACUUAUCCCUGCCAAAUACUAUAAGGUGUCAAAAUUUGGCACAGAGUUUACAAAACUAUAAACCUAGCCCAAGACAGAAUGAUCUUUGCUUGUGUAAUCUUUAAUGAAUAAGACACUGAUACUGGUUUCAUGAAAAUAGCUACAUCUUGAAUUGUUUAGUAAAAUUACCAUAACUUCUAAUCUUCUGUAUUUACACAGCCUAGUCCAUGGGCAGUAAGGAGGUUUGUUAUGGGACAGGACUGUAAUCGUCUUUGUUUCAAAGCUAAAGUAUAAGCUAAGUUCCUCCCAAAGUCUAGUAAUUAACAAGGACAGCUUAGAGGUUAGAAGCAAGAUGGAGUCAGUUAGGUUAUAUCUUUUUCACUGUCUCAGCCAUAAUUUUGCAAUGGCAGUUUCAUAACUUCAAAUCAUGACUAUUGUAGUUUUCAUAAAUAAUCUAGGGAAACAAUUAAAAUAAUUAGGGAAAUGUAAUGGGAUAAAUACUUGUAGACAAACUCAGCAUAAUUUAGACUCUAAGGUUAUAUUAAAUUAAAUAAUAGAUAUUUCAUUAUUUGGGUAUUUUCUAAUAAAUAUAUAUUGCAGGAAAACAUUUUUUUUUUUGAGACGGAGUCUUGUUCUGUUGCCCAGGCUGCAGUGCAGUGACAUGAUCUCAGCUCACUGCAACCUCUGCCUCCCAGGUUCAAGUGAUUCUCCUGCCUCAGCCUCCUGAGUAGCUGGGAUUACAGGUGCGUGCCACCAUGCCUGGCUAAUUUUUGUAUUUUUAGUAGAGACGGGGUUUCACCAUGUUGGUCAGGCUGGUCUUGAACUCCUGACCCCACGAUCCACCCACCUUGGCCUCCCAAAAUGCUGAGAUUACAGGCGUGAGCCACCACGCCUGGCCAGAAAACAUUCUUACUGAAAAAAAAGGGAGGGUGUUCUUUUUAAAAAAAAGGUGAAUAAGUUUUAUCUCAUUCAAAGCUUAUUUAAAAGUUAUGUAUAAAACAAGGUAAAAGGCACCAGGAAAUAAGACAGAUGUAAAUAAAGUUAUAAAAAUAAAUUUUUUUUUUGUGGUAAGAAAGCUGAAAGAGAAAUAAUUGUAUAUGAGAAAGAAUCUUGUAUGGUAAAUUUAGCCCUAAAAUAAAAUGACUGGUUGUUAAAGAAAGAGGGAUAUUCAGGACAAACCAGAAAGUCCAGGCAUGUCAUGAACAGUUGGUUUAAGUAAUAAUAAGAGAAUUUAUCUGAAAAAAAAGCUUUCAUUUGAUCAGGUUGUCACAUUAUUAUUAAGUUCUGGUUUGCUUAUGAAUAAAAACUGAGUUUAAAAAAAUUUUUGGAUUAAGGUUAUUACAUCCAUGUUAUCUUCCUGUAUGUGUUUUUAAAGUCUUGUGACAUUUAGGGCUUUGAAUCCUGGGUCUUAAGAGGACACCAAGUCUUGCUAAAUCUUAAACACUCACAGCAAUUAAAGCCUCAUUAUUAUGCCCCAUAGAAGAUGCCAAUCAAAAUAAACUGCUUUUCUGAGACACAGAGCCAGAAAUUAAAGCUAGUCAACUCCUCAAGGCCCAGGGACUGAAAUGCAAGAUGCAGGCACAUGAGAUUGUAAGGGGAGAGACAGAGAAUCUACAUUUCUACAGGUCCCCGGGCGGUGCUGUGCAGGUGCAUGAUAAGGAGCGUGAUCUGAUGUCUGAUUCACACCAGGGUGUGGGAAUCUCAGAGGCAGAGAGCCCUGGAGAUGAAAGGGACAGAGACCUGGAUUCAGAUCUCAUUUUACAAUGAAGACCCCAAUGCAGAAAGUCAUGUCUGAAAUUCUGAGCUUACUCUUCUGCCUGCUGGGACCUGCUCUGGAUGAGAGAAGGGAGGAAAAGGACUAAUCAGAGGAGCCAAUGAAGUCACUCCAUGAGUUUCCUGAACCCUGCCCAGCUAGAGAUUAACGUCUGACCAUCAACAUAGGACACUGUGCAGAUGGCUACUUGCUGGCGCACAUGAAGACCAAAGCCAGGACACAAGCCCCAGCCCUGCUAAACACGGCAGAGACUCUGCCCCAGCCCACCUCCUGUGAGAAUCUGCUUCACUCCACAGCUGACCCCAGCAUCUUCAUGUGAGGACCAUGAAUGGACAUAGUUUCCAGGAUUUUUUGUGACCCAGGAAACCCGAACUCUCAUCAAAAAUGAAUAAAUAAAAGGAGGGAUGGGUAAGAAAAUGCUAAAAAUCUCCUUUUUGAAUCAUUAACAUUCACUUGAAAUUUGUCUCCACUAUUUCCUACUACCCUAGCAAACUCCAACCUGAAUAGCAUGGGUGAUGGCACUAAGCCCUAUAAUAGAAAAAGUGCCCUUAAGCUCUGUAUUAGUCCGUUCUCUCACUGCUAAUAAAGAUACACCUGAGGCUGGCUAAUUU
rnacentral:lncRNA from 1 species